rnacentral:tRNA from 1 species
GAGGACAUAGCUCAGUAGUAGAGCGCAUGCUUAGCAUGCUAUGAGGUCCUGGGUUCAAUCCCCAGUGCCUCCA